rnacentral:misc_RNA from 1 species
AGCUUUGCUUGCCAAGCGCUUGGGAAAGAAACGCAUUAUUGCCGAGACAGGGGCUGGUCAGCAUGGUGUUGCCACUGCAACUGUUUGUGCUCGGUUUGGUUUGGACUGUGUUAUUUAUAUGGGUGCUCAAGAUAUGGAGAGGCAAGCCCUUAAUGUAUUCCGGAUGCGGCUUCUUGGGGCAGAGGUAAGAGCGGUCCAUUCUGGAACCGCCACGCUGAAGGAUGCUACUUCAGAGGCGAUAAGGGACUGGGUGACAAAUGUCGAGACGACCCACUAUAUCUUGGGGUCAGUUGCCGGCCCACAUCCCUAUCCAAUGAUGGUCAGAGAUUUUCAUGCAAUCAUUGGUAAAGAGACGAGGAAACAGGCAAUGGAUAAAUGGGGAGGGAAGCCUGAUGUACUUGUUGCCUGUGUUGGCGGUGGUUCAAAUGCAAUGGGUCUCUUCCAUGAAUUUGUUGAUGAUGAAGAUGUAAGGUUGAUCGGCGUGGAGGCCGCAGGUUAUGGUAUUGAAAGCGGUAAACAUGCUGCAACCUUGACAAAAGGAGAAGUCGGGGUUCUGCAUGGUGCCAUGAGUUAUCUAUUACAAGACGAUGAUGGACAAAUAAUUGAGCCCCAUUCAAUAAGUGCUGGUUUGGACUACCCAGGUGUCGGACCUGAGCAUAGCUAUUUGAAAGAUCUAGGGCGUGCUGAAUACUAUAGUGUCACCGAUCAAGAGGCCUUGGAAGCUUUCAAGAGACUGUCUCGACUGGAGGGUAUCAUCCCAGCACUGGAAACCUCCCAUGCACUGGCCUAUUUGGAAGCCCUCUGCCCGAGUUUACCUGAUGGAACCAAAGUUGUUCUCAACUGCAGUGGUAGAGGAGACAAGGAUGUCCAGACAGCUAUCAAGUACUUAGAAGUCUGAUGGCUGAGGAAUAGCUACAGUAGUUGUAUCUCACCUUCAUGAAAUUAACUGAUAUUAAACAUGUUAUCUUCUGUUAUGUGCAAUUUUCCGGAAUAAUUGUAUCUUUCUCUUUGAGGCAACAAAU